CCCUUUCAUGUACUGAGCCUCUACGUGGCGAAAGGGAUCAACAGGCAAAAGUCUGGCUAAUCAGUA
rnacentral:ribozyme from 1 species